rnacentral:rRNA from 1 species
UACGUAGGCAGCGAGCGUUGUUCGGAGUUACUGGGCGUAAAGGGUGCGUAGGCGGUUGUUUUAAGUUUGGUGUGAAAUCUCCCGGCUCAACUGGGAGGGUGCGCCGAAUACUGAAUGACUAGAGUGCGGGAGAGGAGAGUGGAAUUCCUGGUGUAGCGGUGAAAUGCGUAGAUAUCAGGAGGAACACCGGUGGCGAAGGCGGGUCUCUGGGCCGAUAUUGACGCUGAGGAGCGAAAGCGUGGGGGAGCAAACAGG